AUACGUAGGGGGCGAGCGUUGUCCGGAAUGAUUGGGCGUAAAGGGCGCGUAGGCGGCCCGGUAAGUCUGGAGUGAAAGUCCUGUUUUUAAGAUGGAAAUUGCUUUGGAUACUGUCGGGCUUGAGUGCAGGAGAGGUAAGUGGAAUUCCCAGUGUAGCGGUGAAAUGCGUAGAGAUUGGGAGGAACACCAGUGGCGAAGGCGACUUACUGGACUGUAACUGACGCUGAGGCGCGAAAGUGUGGGGAGCAAACAGGAUUAGAUACCCUGGUAGUCCACACUGUAAACGAUGAAUGCUAGGUGUAGGGGGUAUCGACCCCUUCUGUGCCGCAGUCAACACAAUAAGCAUUCCGCCUGGGGAGUACGGCCGCAAGGUUGAAACUCAAAUGAAUUGGCGGGG
rnacentral:rRNA from 1 species